UGCGUAGGCGGAUUAAUAAGUCAGUGGCGAAAACCUGCAGCUUAACUGCAGACCUGCCAUUGAUACUGUUAGUCUUGAGUACGGUCAAGGUAGGCGGAAUGUGUAAUGUAGCGGUGAAAUGCUUAGAUAUUACACAGAACACCGAUUGCGAAGGCAGCUUACUGGGCCAUUACUGACGCUGAGGCACGAAAGCGUGGGGAGCGAACAGGAUUAGAUACCCUGGUAGUCC
rnacentral:rRNA from 1 species